GGGGGUCCGGUAGCGUAGUUGGUUACACGUUCGCCUUACAAGCGAAUGGUCAUGGGUUCGAUUCCCAACCCCUCCA